CUAUUUUCUCUUUCAUUUUUCUUUCCUUUCUUCUUCUUCUUCUUCUUUCUCUUUUCGUUCUUCGCCUCUGGCGAUUCUGAAGAUGUUUUGAAACUGUGAAAUUGAAGAGAUACUUAGGGGAAAACAUCGAGGGAUGUUUGCUUCUGGUGGUGUUGAUGUUAUUUGAGCUCGGGAGAAGGAGUUGAUGCUGCUAUAAUUGAAAUUAGGGUUUUGAGAAUGAAUUUGAGUUCUCGGGUGAAUUUGUGGGUUGUUUGAGAUGUUGUUAGUUGAAGAUUGGAAGCGGUUGUUGUUGAAUUAAGGUUAUGAAGUUGUUUUGAUGAUGAAUCGAAGAAGUUAGAGGUAGGGUCUCUCGGGACAACCUCAUAGAAGAAUUAAGAGUUCGAUUUGAUGAUAAUUAAGAAGAAAUUGGAGAUGGGUUUAGUUAAUUGAAGUAAGGGUUUUAGUUCAAUUGAUAAUCUGAAGUAGUCUUAAAGUAAUCUGAGAAGUUAAGGUUUGAAGUUCUGAACCAGAUAUUGAAUCACAGCUGAUGAAGAACAUGGAUUUGAUUCUUGUGUUAAGAAGGUAAUGGUGAUAUUAAUGAUGUUGAAUCAAACUCUCAAGAAGACUGGAAAAGGUAAUCUAAUUUAAGUUUAUUAACUGAUUCUGUUUUAGGGUUCAUGAGUAAUUGAUUAGAUUACAUCAAUUGGAUAAAUAGGUAUGUGUAGGUUGUUCCUGUAAUUAAGAUCUGGUAUUGUUUUAAUUACAGGGUUUCCAUGAGUUUUAUUAGGAAUGGAAUUCUAUGAAUAAGGAUGUCGGGGUAACUGAAAUCUGUUUGAGGUUGAAUUAGUGAUUGAUUGUUGAGGUUAUAAGAUAUUGGAUGAAAUUGUUUUACUGGAAUUGUUGGUGGUGAUGAUGUUGUAGUUCAUGGGAUUGAAAUGGAUUGUGUGAUUGGUUUGUUUGGGAUUGAGAUGUGUUACAAAUAUGCGAAUAGUGUUGUUGUUGUGUUGAGGUGCAGGGUAUGAUUGAAGUUCUAGAGGGUGACUGGUUUAAGUGGUGCUAUGGAUGUUGCCUAGAUUGCAGCUGCAAUUGAAAGGGGAAAUGGUACUGCAAUGGUAAUUUAUAGUUGGUGUUGAAAUGAGAAGUGGAUUGGUUGUGAAUGAGUUAGGAAAUGUGUGAGUUGUUGAUUGGCGGUAGUGAUGAUGUCAGUCUCAGGACAUGCAAAGGUGAAACUGAGUUGUUGUUGAUAUGGGUUGCAGAUGUAGUGAUCAUAGUUAAUGAGGGAAUUUGAUGGUGUUGAUAUUACAUGGGAGAGAUGUGUAUUGGUGGUGAACAUGUUGAACUGAACUCAGGUUGUUUGAGAUGUUAUAGGACUGAAGCUCUAGAAAUAGAGUGAGAUGAAUGUGUUGAGAUGAUCUGAGUAAUGCUUAAAGCAGCAAUUACAGUUAGUCUUAUUAACAACGAUCGAUUCAAAGGAUGAACCAGUGGAUCGUGGAUUUCGAGGUAGGCGUGGCUUGUCAUCAAAAGAGGUGGAAAUACAUUUGACUCUUUGUUUCAGAGACAGAUCAGAGUUGCGCAGAGAAGGCUCCGAGAAGUUUACUUCGUUAGUUGGUUAUAUUCUUAUAUGUUUAUUAUGUUGUAUAUUCUAUUUGUAAACUAAAUGACUAUUGUAUAUGUAACAUUUGAGAGGAGUUCUUGUAUAUAUAUUUCUGAGCAUUGUUAGUUUCGGGUUAAGUUUUUGUAGCAGAUUUCUUAAUUGAAAGUUUAAGUAUUUGUUUUAGAUU